GAUGAACGCUGGCGGCGUGCCUAAUACAUGCAAGUCGAGCGAACGGACGAGAAGCUUGCUUCUCUGAUGUUAGCGGCGGACGGGUGAGUAACACGUGGAUAACCUACCUAUAAGACUGGGAUAACUUCGGGAAACCGGAGCUAAUACCGGAUAAUAUUUUGAACCGCAUGGUUCAAAAGUGAAAGACGGUCUUGCUGUCACUUAUAGAUGGAUCCGCGCUGCAUUAGCUAGUUGGUAAGGUAACGGCUUACCAAGGCAACGAUGCAUAGCCGACCUGAGAGGGUGAUCGGCCACACUGGAACUGAGACACGGUCCAGACUCCUACGGGAGGCAGCAAUAGGGAAUCUUCCGCAAUGGGCGAAAGCCUGACGGAGCAACGCCGCGUGAGUGGUGAAGGUCUUCGGAUCGUAAAACUCUGUUAUUAGGGAAGAACAUAUGUGUAAGUAACUGUGCACAUCUUGACGGUACCUAAUCAGAAAGCCACGGCUAACUACGUG
rnacentral:rRNA from 1 species